rnacentral:rRNA from 1 species
GGUCAGGAUGAACGCUAGCGACAGGCUAACACAUGCAAGUCGAGGGGCAGCAUAGAAGUAGCAAUACUCGGUGGCGACCGGCGCACGGGUGAGUAACGCGUAUGCAACCUACCUAUCGAGAGGGGAAUAACCCGGCGAAAGUCGGACUAAUACCGCAUAAAACAGGGGCACCGCAUGGUGAUAUUUGUUAAAGAAAUUCGCUGAUAGAUGGGCAUGCGUUCCAUUAGGUAGUUGGUUAGGUAACGGCUCACCAAGCCGACGAUGGAUAGGGGAACUGAGAGGUUGGUCCCCCACACUGGUACUGAGACACGGACCAGACUCCUACGGGAGGCAGCAGUGAGGAAUAUUGGUCAAUGGGCGGGAGCCUGAACCAGCCAAGUCGCGUGAAGGGAAAAGAAGGAUCUAUGGUUCGUAAACUUCUUUUGCAGGGGAAUAAAGUGCAGGACGUGUCCUGUUUUGUAUGUACCCUGAGAAUAAGGAUCGGCUAACUCCGUGCCAGCAGCAGC